UUUUCCUGGCUUGCUAGCUCAUUCCUCUUUAGCGCUGAAUGAUAUUCCAUUGUCUAGACGUACCACGUCUUCCAAAUCCAAUCCCCUACCAUAGGGUAUGUUGGUGGCUUCCCAGUUUGGGCUAUUAUGAAUAAAGCUUCCAUAAACGUCCGUGUCCAGGUUUUUGUGUGAACACAAGUUUCAACUCUUCCUUGGUUUUUACACACUGUGUGUUACUGUCACACUGUUUCAUAAUUUUGCACCCUUCUUCUUACCUAAGUUGUAUUCUCCACAUUGUGACAUCUUGACACUGUUCCAGUGAGAAGACAGGUAGGCCACGGUACCCAACCGUUCCCUGGCAUCUCAGUAAUACCUGACACGCAAAGCACUGGGAAAAGUGCACAAUAUCCAUAAUCUCCGACCCUCCCAGAUGGGAAAAUGAAGCCUCGGAGAGGUCCAGGCGGGAGACGUGGGAUCUGAUCCAGGGCGGCCUGCCUCCUUGGCCCUGAAGCAAGGAUUCUGGGCCCAGCCCAGACAACAGAGAAGAAGAAAACUAGGACAGGAAGAGGGUAAAUCAAGCCAGAUCCACGAUGGCUGCUCUGGGCUUAAACCAGCUCCCUAAAGAGAAGGGAACUCUUCUGCGACCACGUAAAGAAGCCUGGCUGGCCUACUAGAAGAUGAGACCGCAUGGAACAGACACAAGUCCCCCCAGCUGAUGCCCCAAAGCAGCCAGGCCCUGGCUCAUCCACCAGAAGACCAAAGCUUCAGGAGUGACUCCAGCCAAGACCAGAAGAACUGCUCAGCUAAGCCCAGCCCAAAGUGCUGACCUAUGGAAUU